AAUCAAGCGCGAGAAGGGCGUUUGGUGGAUGCCUUGGCAGUAAGAGGCGAUGAAGGACGUGAUACUCUGCGAUAAGUCCUGGGGAGCUGAGAAUAAGCUUUGAUCCAGGAAUUUCCGAAUGGGGAAACCCACCUGACAGUUCGUUAUAAUUACUUCGGUAGUUUAUAACGUUCUGAAACAGGUACUUAUUACCUGAAUACAUAGGGUUUUAAGAGCGAACCCGGGGAACUGAAACAUCUAAGUACCCGGAGGAAAGGAAAUCAACAGAUACUCCGCUAGUAGUGGCGAGCGAACGCGGACCAGCCGAAUCUUGAAAGUGACCAGAAUGAUCUGGAAAGAUCAGCCAUAGUGGGUGACAGCCCCGUAUGGGAAGCUCGAUAGGACGCAUUAAGUAGGGCGGGACACGUGAAAUCCUGUCUGAAGAUCGGGGGACCACCCUCGAAGGCUAAGUACUCCUUACUGACCGAUAGCGAACCAGUACCGUG
rnacentral:rRNA from 1 species